GAUGAACGCUGGCGGCGUGCCUAAUACAUGCAAGUCGAGCGAACAGACGAGGAGCUUGCUCCUGUGACGUUAGCGGCGGACGGGUGAGUAACACGUGGAUAACCUACCUAUAAGACUGGGAUAACUUCGGGAAACCGGAGCUAAUACCGGAUAAUAUAUUGAACCGCAUGGUUCAAUAGUGAAAGACGGUUUUGCUGUCACUUAUAGAUGGAUCCGCGCCGCAUUAGCUAGUUGGUAAGGUAACGGCUUACCAAGGCGACGAUGCGUAGCCGACCUGAGAGGGUGAUCGGCCACACUGGAACUGAGACACGGUCCAGACUCCUACGGGAGGCAGCAGUAGGGAAUCUUCCGCAAAGGGCGAAAGCCUGACGGAGCAACGCCGCGUGAGUGAUGAAGGUCUUCGGAUCGUAAAACUCUGUUAUUAGGGAAGAACAAAUGUGUAAGUAACUAUGCACGUCUUGACGGUACCUAAUCAGAAAGCCACGGCUAACUACGUG
rnacentral:rRNA from 1 species